AGGCUGCUGCAGUCUUUUUUUUUUUUUAGGUUUAGAUUUGGUUUAGUGUAACCCGGGUUAGAGAAAUUGUAGUGGUCUGAGUUUAUGUUAUAAUUUCUGGUUAGUUUUGUAAACCAGGAUUAAUUUGUAAACCAAUUUUAAUAUAUAAAUAAAAUUUAUUUUAAUUUCAAUAUAAAACAAUUUUCAAUUUAAUAUUAAAUUAUUCUAU
rnacentral:lncRNA from 1 species